UUGACUUGGGACUCGGACUUCC
rnacentral:rRNA from 1 species